AGCAGUAGCCGCGGUAAUACGAAGGGUGCAAGCGUUACUCGGAAUUACUGGGCGUAAAGCGUGCGUAGGUGGUGGUUUAAGUCCGUUGUGAAAGCCCUGGGCUCAACCUGGGAAUUGCAGUGGAUACUGGGUCACUAGAGUGUGGUAGAGGAUAGUGGAAUUUCCGGUGUAGCAGUGAAAUGCGUAGAGAUCGGAAGGAACAUCUGUGGCGAAGGCGACUAUCUGGGCCAACACUGACACUGAGGCACGAAAGCGUGGGGAGUAAACAGGAUUAGAUACCCGAGUAGUCCCUGUCUCUUAUAC
rnacentral:rRNA from 1 species